GUUCGUAAAGUCACGCUUUUAAAAGUAACUAAAAGCAGCUGAAAAUAAGAAUUUUUUGAUGAACUUUCUUACUUCGGUUGGAGGAGAUGAGAAACAACUUACAGCGGCAAUCUUAAUACAGCUAAUGGCCAAAGAAGUAUGUUUUUCAUACUCAGUGUAUGGAAGGAAACAAAAACGUCCUGCAAGGUCGUUAUAGAAUUGCGUUUAGUCAUUUAUCGUUGUAUUUGUUCAUUUCGAAAUCGCUACUGACAAAAGUAUUAAAGAAAAAAUUGGCAGCUUUCUGGCGACGGCCAUUAAUAGAGAUUUCGAAAGAAAAAUAGAACCGUAACUGAGCAACGCCCAAUAUUGAGCAAUGAAAUAAGUAUCGCCAAAAUAAUGAAA